UACGUAGGGUGCAAGCGUUGUCCGGAAUUAUUGGGCGUAAAGAGCUCGUAGGCGGUCUGUCGCGUCGGCUGUGAAAACCUGGGGCUCAACUCCGGGCCUGCAGCCGAUACGGGCAGACUAGAAUUCGGUAGGGGAGACUGGAAUUCCUGGUGUAGCGGUGAAAUGCGCAGAUAUCAGGAGGAACACCGGUGGCGAAGGCGGGCCUCUGGGCCGAUAUUGACGCUGAGGAGCGAAAGCAUGGGGAGCGAACAGG
rnacentral:rRNA from 1 species